UUCUUAUAGGAUCUGUGUUUAUAGUGUAACCCGCUCGUUCUGUUGAAUGCUAACUCAGUAUGAACUGUGGUGUUUCCAUCUAGGUUGAGCAAUAGUAAUGUGAUUCCUUUCUAUUGCUUAGAACAAUGUGCGUAGGCUCGUAUUUUCUUCGUCCCGUUAAACCUCGUGGACAGAACAUUUCUCCCCAUCAAGCGAUGCCAUAGGAGUGCACUGAAAUGAAGAAAGGGAAAAGAAACAAGCUAGCUGAUUGUUAGUUAUAAUUGUCUAAUAGCAUCCAGGAAGGAGCGAAGAGUUUAAGGUUAGAAAUAUUUGCCGAAUCGUUCACCUGUAAUAAUCUGGAUUCGGUUCAAAGGUUGUCGUGUUCAGUAAACCAUAGUUUCCACCAA